rnacentral:rRNA from 1 species
UGAGGAACAUGACCUUCGGCGGGGGAUAGCCGGCCCAACGGCCGGGUAAUACCGCGUACGACCUUUUGGGGACAUCCCCGAUUGGUGAAAGCAGCAAUGCGCCGAAAGAGUGCCUCGCGGCCUAUCAGCUAGUUGGUGGGGUAAUGGCUCACCAAGGCGACAACGGGUAGCUGGUCUGAGAGGAUGGCCAGCCACAUUGGGACUGAGACACGGCCCAGACCUCCGUACGGGAGCAGCAGG